rnacentral:rRNA from 1 species
UGUGCGACGCAGCUAACGCAUUAAGCGCCCCGCCUGGGGAGUACGAUCGCAAGAUUAAAACUCAAAGGAAUUGACGGGGCCCCGCACAAGCAGCGGAGCAUGCGGCUUAAUUCGACGCAACGCGAAGAACCUUACCAAGGCUUGACAUAUACAGGAAUAUGGCAGAGAUGUCAUAGCCGCAAGGUCUGUAUACAGGUGGUGCAUGGUUGUCGUCAGCUCGUGUCGUGGGAUGUUGGGUUAAGUCCCGCAACGAGCGCAACCCUCGUUCUGUGUUGCCAGCAUUUAGUUGGGGACUCACAGGAGACUGCCGGGGUUAACUCGGAGGAAGGUGGGGAUGACGUCAAAUCAUCAUGCCCCUUAUGUCUUGGGCUGCACGCAUGCUACAAUGGCUGGUACAAACGGCUGCAAUACCGCAAGGUGGAGCGAAUCCGAGAAAGCCAGUCUCAGUUCGGAUUGGGGUCUGCAACUCGACCCCAUGAAGUCGGAGUUGCUAGUAAUCGUAGAUCAGCAACGCUACGGUGAAUACGUUCCCGGGGCUUGUACACACCGCCCGUCACAUCACGAAAGUCGGUAACACC